GUGAGGAAUUUUCCGCAAUGGGCGAAAGCCUGACGGAGCAAUGCCGCGUGAAGGAUGAAGGCCUAUGGGUUGUAAACUUCUUUUCUCAGAAAAGAAUUAUGACGGUAUCUGAGGAAUAAGCAUCGGCUAACUCUGUGCCAGCAGCCGCGGUAAGACAGAGGAUGCAAGCGUUAUCCGGAAUGAUUGGGCGUAAAGCGUCUGUAGGUUGUUUAAAAAGUAUUCUGUCAAAGAUUAGGGCUUAACCCUAGAUAGGCAGAAUAAACUUUUAAGCUAGAGUUUAGUAGAAGCAGAGGUAAUUCCCGGUGGAGAGGUGAAAUGCGUAUAUAUCGGGAGGAACGCCAAAGGCGAAGGCACUCUGCUGGGCCAAUACUAACACUGAGAGACGAAAGCGAGGGGAGCAAAUGGGAUUAGAAACCCCUGUAGUCC
rnacentral:rRNA from 1 species